rnacentral:rRNA from 1 species
GACGAACGCUGGCGGCGUGCCUAAUACAUGCAAGUCGAACGCAGUGGGGACGGGUGAGUAGCACGUGGGUAACCUCCCAUCAGAGGGGAUAACACUUGGAAACAGGUGCUAAACCGAUACUGAUGGAUGGACCCGCGGUGCAUUAGCUCGUUGGUGAGGUAACGGCUCACCAAGGCCACGAUGCAUAGCCGACCUGAGGAGGAGAUCGGCCACACUGGGACUGGGACACGGCCCAGACUCCUACGGGAGGCAGAAGGAGGGAAUCUUCGGCAAUGGACGAAAGUCUGACCGAGCAACGCAGCGUGAAGGAAGACGGUCUUCGGAUUGUAAACUUCUUUAGACAGAGACGCGGUACCUGUAGAAUAAGCCACGGCUAACUACGUGCCAGCAGCCGCGGUAAUUC